GAUGAACGCUGGCGGCGUGCUUAACACAUGCAAGUCGAACGAUUAAAGCCCCUUCGGGGGUGUAUAGAGUGGCGAACGGGUGAGUAACACGUGGGCAAUCUGCCCCUCACUUCGGGAUAACUCAGGGAAACCUGAGCUAAUACCGGAUACUCCGGUCUGACCGCAUGGUCGGACCGGGAAAGUUCCGGCGGUGAGGGAUGAGCCCGCGGCCCAUUAGCUUGUUGGUGAGGUAACGGCUCACCAAGGCGACGAUGGGUAGCCGAGCUGAGAGGCUGAUCGGCCGCACUGGGACUGAGACACGGCCCAGACUCCUACGGGAGGCAGCAGUGGGGAAUCUUGCGCAAUGGGCGAAAGCCUGACGCAGCAACGCCGCGUGCGGGAUGAAGGCCUUCGGGUUGUAAACCGCUUUCAGCAGGGAUGAAACUGACAGUACCUGCAGAAGAAGCCCCGGCUAACUACGUGCCAGCCGCCGCCGUAACAC
rnacentral:rRNA from 1 species